CACAGAGAAAUUUCAUGAUUCCCACCCCUGUUUUCCUUCUGGAGCUUUCAGUGAGCAGCCUUGCUCGCACAGCUGAAGAGGGCAGGAAAUGUCAUUGGGGCUGCGGGAGGGCUCCGAGACCCCUGGCUGCGAGGAGAUUAGCAAGACCUACUGGGAUAGGAGACUGGAAGCGAGAGGAAGAAUGACAAAGGCUCCUCCUCGCUGUCCGAAUUGUUCAUGAACGUGAUCAUCGCCGCUUUCCACGGGUGCACUCAGGAGGGCACAGCCAAGCACUACUCAAGGCUGUGGGGACAAGCAGAGCAGAGGGGAAGAAAACCACACCGCAAACAA